UGGUGAUGAUGAGGAAAUCUAAUCAGUAGAGAUUUGAAGCUAUCCGAGGCUUGGUAUAAAUUUUCACCUGACUUUUGUUUAAAGCUUAGAAUCUCAGCUCUUAGCUU